rnacentral:rRNA from 1 species
CGCGUAGGCGGUCUUUUAAGUCAGGUGUGAAAGCCCGGGGCUCAACCCCGGAAGUGCACUUGAAACUAAGAGACUUGAGUAUGAGAGAGGGAAGUGGAAUUCCUGGUGUAGCGGUGAAAUGCGUAGAUAUCAGGAGGAACAUCGGUGGCGAAGGCGACUUCCUGGACCAAUACUGACGCUGAGGCGCGAAGGCGUGGGGAGCAAACA